rnacentral:rRNA from 1 species
AUGGCGGCAAUGCGGACCCUCCACACCGCGCCGGCCUCUUUCAUCGUGACGCCCGCUCCUCAUCUCGUCUCCCCGACUCCAACCCCAAGAGCAGGUGCCCUGCCAGCGAAGGCUCCUCCUGCCGCGGCGGCCACUAUCCAGUCGCAUGCCCGGCCCCCCUUGUCGCCGCGCGUGGGCCGUCGCCGGCCGUGCGCGAGAGCCGCCUCGUCCGGCGCUGGUGCGGUGGUCGCGUCAGUGGAAGAUGCCAAGAGGGACGUGCUCAUCGCGCUCUCCCAGAUUAUCGAUCCUGAUUUCGGGACGGACAUCGUCUCGUGUGGGUUUAUCAAGGAUUUGGAGAUCAGCGAGACUUUAGAGGAGGUCUCGUUUCGUGUGGAGCUGACGACUCCUGCAUGCCCAGUCAAGGACAUGUUUGAAGAAAAGGCAAAUGAGGUCGUUGCAGCACUUCCAUGGGUCAAAAAGGUCAAUGUUACAAUGUCUGCACAACCUGCACAACCAGUUUAUGCAGGGGACCUCCCAGAAGGACUAAAGAAAAUUUCAAACAUCAUAGCAGUCUCAAGUUGCAAGGGAGGAGUUGGAAAAUCUACAGUCGCAGUGAAUCUUGCAUACACCUUAGCUGGUAUGGGGGCCAGGGUUGGGAUUUUCGAUGCCGAUGUCUUUGGUCCAAGCUUACCAAAUAUGGUUUCUCCAGUGAACCGGCUGCUAGUGGUGAACCCAGAAAGCAAAAGUAUUCUUCCGACUGAAUACUUGGGAGUCAAAUUGGUGUCUUUUGGCUUUGCUGGACAAGGAAGAGCGAUCAUGCGUGGUCCAAUGGUUUCAGGAGUCAUUAAUCAGUUGCUGACCACGACUGACUGGGGCGAACUUGACUAUCUUGUCAUUGAUAUGCCUCCCGGAACAGGCGAUAUACACUUAACACUCUGUCAGGUAGCUCCGUUGACUGCAGCUGUGAUUGUUACUACCCCUCAGAAGCUGGCUUUUAUUGAUGUUGCUAAGGGUGUUCGGAUGUUCUCUAAGCUUAAGGUUCCAUGUGUUGCAGUUGUUGAGAACAUGUGCUACUUUGAUGCUGACGAAAAGCGCUAUUACCCAUUUGGAAAAGGUUCUGGAACUCAGGUUGUGCAGCAGUUUGGAAUACCUAACCUCUUUGAUUUGCCAAUACGGCCAACUCUUUCGUCUUCUGGAGAUACUGGCAUUCCUGAAGUAGUGUCUGAUCCCCAAGGGGACGUUGCCAAGAUAUUUCAGAAUCUUGGAGUAUGUGUUGUUCAACAAUGUGCUAAAAUUAGACAACAAGUUUCAACAGCAGUGUCCUACGAUAGAUCAAUUAGAGCAAUCAGAGUGAAAGUGCCAGAUUCAGACGAGGAGUUCUUCUUGCACCCAGCAACAGUCAGACGGAAUGACCGAUCUGCUCAAAGUGUGGACGAAUGGACCGGAGAGCAAAAAGUACAAUAUGGCGAUGUACCUGAAGACAUCGAGCCUGAAGAGAUACGGCCGAUGGGCAACUAUGCUGUUUCUAUAACUUGGCCUGAUGGAUUUAGUCAGAUAGCACCUUAUGAUCAACUGGAUAUGCUUGAGAGGUUAGUGGAUGUUCCUCUUCCAGCAACAGCUGCAGUGGCCUCUUCGUGA